rnacentral:misc_RNA from 1 species
GAUGAAGAACGUAGCGAAAUGCGAUAAGUAGUGUGAAUUGCAGAAUUCAGUGAAUCAUCGAAUCUUUGAACGCACAUUGCGCCCCUUGGUAUUCCAUGGGGCAUGCCUGUUCGAGCGUCAUUUGUACCUUCAAGCUCUGUUUGGUGUUGGGUGUUUGUCUCGCCUCUGCGUGUAGACUCGCCUCAAAACAAUUGGCAGCCGGCGUAUUGAUUUCGGAGCGCAGUACAUCUCGCGCUUUGCACUCAUAACGACGACGUCCAAAAGUACAUUUUUACACUCUUGACCUCGGAUCAGGUAGGGAUACCCGCUGAACUUAAGCAUAUCAAUAAGCGGAGGA